rnacentral:rRNA from 1 species
CCUACGGGUGGCAGCAGUGGGGAAUAUUGCACAAUGGGCGAAAGCCUGAUGCAGCAACGCCGCGUGAAGGAAGACGGCUUUCGGAUUGUAAACUUCUGUUCUCAGUGAAGAAUAAUGACGGUAACUAAGGAGUAAGCCACGGCUAACUACGUGCCAGCAGCCGCGGUAAAACGUAGGUGGCAAGCGUUGUCCGGAAUUACUGGGUGUAAAGGGAGCGUAGGCGGGAAGCCAAGUCAGCUGUGAAAACUACGGGCUUAACCUGGAGACUGCAGUUGAAACUGGCUUUCUUGAGUGAAGUAGAGGUUGGCGGAAUUCGGGGUGUAGCGGUGAAAUGCGUAGAUAUUCGGAGGAACACCGGUGGCGAAGGCGACCAGCUGGGCUUUAACUGACGCUGAGGCUCGAAAGUGUGGGGAGCAAACAGGAUUAGAUACCCGGGUAGUC